UGCUCCAGAAUAGCUCUUGGAAACGGGUGGUAAUGCUGGAUGCUCCAACUUGACGCAUGUCUUGUUGGGAAAGUGUUUAGUGGCAUGGGAUGGGGUCGCGUCCUAUCAGCUUGUAGGCGGGGUAAUGGCCCACCUAGGCUUCGACGGGUAGCCGGCCUGAGAGGGCGGACGGCCACAUUGGGACUGAGGCACGGCCCAAACUCCUACGGGAGGCAGCAGCC
rnacentral:rRNA from 1 species